GUCAGCUACAGGUUAACUGAGGUUCUAAUCUAUCUACAGCUAUUAAGACACAGUGCACGCUUGAGUAUUCUAUCUAACGCUUCGUACUCUACAGUCUUCUAACAUUCUAAAAUUAGAUAUUGUUCAAUUAGAAGUGCCGUUCGCAAGUAUAAAUAUCAGCAUAAUACAUGUAAAUUGAAAUAGACGCAGGAGUGUGAAUUAAAAAAGGCAAUUUGAAUAUGGUGCAGUAAGGUACUAAUAAUUGACGGCUGUGAAAGUUCUG